GCAUGUCUCAGAGGUUCCAAGGCCACCUCACCCUGUUCUACACCUGGGCUCCAUUCAGCCUCCUCAGCAUCUGCCCUCUCUUCACUAGACCUGGGUUAUAAUCCAGGUUCAAACACUAAUCAGGACUUGUGCAGAUUCUAAAAUGCAAAAUGAAGCCUGAAGCUAAGUGCCUUCACGCACCUUCUAGACAGUCAGAGAGGGAUUAGCAGUUACUUUGAUGCCAAAAUCAUCUUGGAGAACAGGACACACUGAGGGGAUGGCCAACCUCAAACCAGGAAGCCGAUCUCACCAGGCACUGGAUCUGCGGGCACCUUGAUCUUGGACUCCCCAGCCUCCAGAACUGACCUGAAGUGGAAAAAAGCAAUAGGGAGAAGCUAAAUGCUAACAGGAAGGUGUUGAACUUCUCGUGUGAUGUGAAGGGGACACUGGGAAGCCAUGUUCUACCUGCAUCUCUAUCAUGGGUAUAAAUUUCACUCUGCUUGUUAAUUGCUUUAAUAAAUGGAAGUAAAGGCAAACUUGAA